CACACUGUAAACGAUGAUAACUCGCUGUCGGCGAUACACAGUCGGUGGCCAAGCGAAAGCAUUAAGUUAUCCACCUGGGGAGUACGACCGCAAGGUUGAAACUCAAAGGAAUUGACGGGGGCCCGCACAAGCGGAGGAACAUGUGGUUUAAUUCGAUGAUACGCGAGGAACCUUACCCGGGCUUGAAAUGCAUCUGACCGGCAAAGAGAUUUGCUUUUUCCUCGGAACGGAUGCGUAGGUGC
rnacentral:rRNA from 1 species